rnacentral:lncRNA from 1 species
CACAAUGUUGGAUGCCCCGAAGGGAUUAUACAUUUCUUUCCUUGGUAUAAUAUAGAUCUAUGAAGACAUCUAUUAAAAAUGUUUUAAAUACCAAUGUUCUGUAGAGGUGAUUGUAAACAAUUUGGUUUGUGGUGAUUCUCUACUUCUCAUUCAGGAUAUUAAGGUUUCAAGGACAUUUUGAAUUCUAUAUUUGUAGCAUGAGGAUUUGACUUUAUUUCAUUAAAAAUAGAAAGCUCCUAAUAUCUAAUUCAAACCAUCAAGUCAUGUAUUACUAGGCCUUGGGUAGAUACUAAGUUUUUACACUCUGAAAUGAUAUAUAAAAGUGUUACUAACUUCCUUUGAAUGAUCUUUGAUUGUUAAUAUGAGUUGUAUUUCAUUAAGGAUUUCUCUUAAAUCAUAUUGUUUUUAUUACUUAUAUUACAGGACAACCUGCAAUAUUUUCCUAACUUUUCUGUCUUCUCCUAGUCUGUUCUCUGUUCCAUAUGCUAAUGCCAGAAAAAUCUUCACAAAAACAUUGCCCCUUCUUAAAAUGAAACAAUGCUUUCCAAAGUCUUCAUUGCUUAUCAUUUGUAUUACCAUCUUCUUGCCUUUGCUCACAAUCUGUUUCUUAGGCUGAAUAUGUUUCCUCCAUUGUAUAAAUUCUACUCAUUUUUCAAAGCCCAAUUCGUGAUGCUCUUUCAUCUCCAAGAAGAUUUUCCCGGCCACCCUACCCAACAAUAAAUGAUCUUUUUAAUCUUGUACUUUUUGUCUAAUCCUUGACAACUGUCCUAAGAUGUUGUCAUUUAUUUUUUUCAUUUGAAUGCCAUUAUUUCCCCUACUGGAUGUUAAAUUUCUUAAGGGUAGGGAGUAUGCCCAAUGCUUCUUUAUAUUAUCUUUCAAAUCUACCAUUAUAGCAAGAGGAGAAUUCUCAGUGAUUCUGGAGGACUUGUGUAGACCCAUCUGAAUGUGCAAAUGAUGGUUGACAAGAUUUCUUUGCAAAAACGAUAAAGCCACAUGACAGGAGCUACAAUAAAAUAAGAGGAAACAAAAAUAGGGAAGAGAGGCAUCUAACAUCAAGAAUAAAAGUGAGCUUGGUAGUGCAGUAGGAAAACGGCUUAUUUAAAUGCAAUGAAACUCGAGAGUACUUCUGGCAGUACUAUAAAGAUGCAGUGGGUGACCCUUUGUCCCUUAGUCACCUCUCAGACAUUUUUGGAUAUCUCAGCAACUUCUGGAAGUUCAACAAGGUGUUCAGAUGCAAUCUGGACACAAUAAAGUGAAGAACAGUUGAAAUAUCACUCUUGGUUAAUAGCAUCAUGCAGACCAUGAUGUGAGUCUGUGUGCCUUGUGAGGAAGUAUGAGGAGCAAAAUGGAGGGGGUGGAUAGAUCCCUAGACUCAAGAGUAGUCAAAAAGAUCAAGGUUCAAGU